AACGAACGCUGGCGGCAGGCUUAACACAUGCAAGUCGAACGCCCCGCAAGGGGAGUGGCAGACGGGUGAGUAACGCGUGGGAAUCUACCCAGAACUUCGGAACAACUGAGGGAAACUUCAGCUAAUACCGGAUACGCCCUACGGGGGAAAGAUUUAUCGGUUUUGGAUGAGCCCGCGUUGGAUUAGCUAGUUGGUGAGGUAAUGGCUCACCAAGGCGACGAUCCAUAGCUGGUCUGAGAGGAUGAUCAGCCACACUGGGACUGAGACACGGCCCAGACUCCUACGGGAGGCAGCAGUGGGGAAUAUUGGACAAUGGGCGAAAGCCUGAUCCAGCCAUGCCGCGUGAGUGAUGAAGGCCUUAGGGUUGUAAAGCUCUUUCAGUAGGGAAGAUAAUGACGGUACCUACAGAAGAAGCCCCGGCUAACUUCGUG
rnacentral:rRNA from 1 species